rnacentral:rRNA from 1 species
CCCCUAGAUGUUCUGGGCCGCACGCGCGCUACACUGAACAGUUCAACAAGUCUUAACCUUGGCCGAUAGGUCUGGGUAAUCUUUGAACGCUGUUCGUGACUGGGAUAGACCUUUGCAAUUAUGGGUCUUCAACGAGGAAUUCCUGGUAAACGCAAGUCAUCAGCUUGCAUUGAUUACGUCCCUGCCCUUUGUACACACCGCCCGUCGCACCUACCGAUUGAAUGGUCCGGUGAAAUCUCGGGACGGCGGCUUGGUCGCUUGCGUCCGACUGCUGAAACUUGAUUAAACCAUAUCAUUUAGAGGAAGGUGAAGUCGUAACA